GAGGGAGGGAAGAACUACAAGAAUGAAUUGCAUAUACCUAUGAAAUUGUCAAAAAAACUAACAAUAAAAAAAAAAAGACUGGUAUAUUGUCUGCACUGGCCAAACAUUGUUAUGGUGUGUAUCAAGAGAGAUUAGUAUACAGAAAUAUUAUCAAGUAAAGUAAUUUGGCUUUUCUGUGAUGUCUAAACACAUCCCUUCUCAGUCUUCCCUGGAUUGGAACUCAUUAGACAUCUAUCUGACCUGAACAUCCAAGUAUUGAUGAGCCAUGAUAAUAUGACAUAAAGCUACAUCCUUCUUAGAAUUAAUGCCAACUUGAACUUUAAAAGGCAUUACUGGUUUGAUGUUCUCCUCAUCUCACUGUGACUGAAAAUAAAAACAGAAGAAAGCUAGUCAUUUAGAUGCAUAGGUAGGAGUCUCUCACCUCUGGUUCUAGUCUGAGCCCUUAGGUAUUACAGCAUCUGGGAAUUAUAAGCUAGGCACUGUCUUUAAGUUGCUCAAUGGGAUUUAUCUGAAGAAAGUGUAUGUCUAUAUACAUAUAUAUGAUUCACUUAUAUACUUUUAUACACAUAUUUACUUAUAUAUGCAUAUGUACUUAUAUAUACUUACACACACACACACAUCUAGUAACGACUUAAAGAGUAUCUAAUAGUAUGGGACAUGUGCCUGCAUGCUGUGAUGUGGACUUAAAGGAUGCCUGAUUAUUGCAGAUGUGGAAACAGCAGCGAAGAAAUGAGUUCUUUUUAGGAACUAUGGUCCUUCUUGUCAAAAUAGACUGCUAGAUGCCACCUCCUGUUCUCUUCAGUGGGAUUUUUUUCAAAGAUAAUGCUUGCAACCAAAUGAGCUCAUAUACCCUUAUGUCCUUUGUGCUUCCCUAUAUGAAUAAUUUUAAGAAAACACAGUCAAGAAGUUGACAACUUUACACCCAUCAUUCUGGUAAUUUCUGUCAUGAAUUUCGAUUACUAGUUUCUAUUCUCACUCUCUGGGUUUUUAGUCAUUAGGAUUUUUUUUGUCAUUUUGUUUUGUUUUGUUGCAUGUGUGUGUAUGAGUGUGUGUAUGCAUAUAUGUAUGUGUACAUGUGUGUGUAUGUAUAUAUGUUGUGUGUAUGCAUGUGUGUAUGUAUGUAUGUGUCUGUAUUCGUGUGUGUGUGUGUAUGAAGGGGAUGUAUUCAUGUGAGUGCAGGUAUCCAUGAAAGGCUAGAAACAUCAGAUCCUCUAGAGCUGGAUUUAUAAGCAGUUUUAAUUCAUCCAAUGUGAAUCCCUACAAAGUUUUUGAGCUAAGACAGUUUCCAAGCUAAAACACACAAAAUUAUUUUAUAAAGAAAAUAAAAGUUAGGCUGGCAGCAAACAAAUGAGUUGUGGGCCAGUUGUGGGCGUUCUGACUGGGGAAGGGGCAUAGAGCUCCCAGGGCAUUCAGAAAUGAAGUCGGCAUAGCGAAUAGGUCAUAGAGAGAUUCAGGUGCACAUGCUAGCCUUACAGUGCCAUGAGACGCAUUCUCUGUGGGUCUGCACGUUUCUCUCAUUUCUGUGGCAGUGACACUUCAGUAGGUUUCCCAAUAGCAAUCAUAACAGGCACAAUGAUGUGCUCUCUGGAGUGUGUUCUCCCUUUCUGACAACAUAGCUGAUUUUCCCUAAUGAGCCUUUUGUUGUCAAUGUGGCUUUUUACUAGCUAUUGCUGAACUACUGUUAGGUCUUUGUGUCCUCGGAUUAUGUCCUUAAUGUAUUGCUGCAUUUCUUUGCCUCAGUGCAAACAAUUUCAAGAGACUUGACUACCUGGCAAAGCCUUUAUGUGAAUGGGUAGCAAAUGCUUUUAUGGGAUGGAGGCUUCCUUUACUGAGAGAUUAAUGAAAAAAUAAGAUUUUUUUUUUUAAUUAAAUGCUGGGACUUGAACCCAAAGCCUUGCAUGUGCAAGUGGGGCUGUGCCUAUAAAAGGAGAAUUGUAUUUUUCUCUUCCUUUUGAUGGGUUUUGUUUUGUUUUGUGCUUGUCUUGUUAAAGAGAAAUGCUACCUCUAGAUUACUGAAAACACUCAAGGAAGAAGUGAAGAUAUCUUCGUAUACGAUGAGGGAAGGAAUCAAUCUCCACCCUGAUUCCUGAUGUGGUUUGAAAUAAUAAAGGAUUCAAAUAUUUUGAAAUAAUAGCAUUUACAAAAAUUAGUAAAGCACAAGAAAAAGAAAGUAAUCAAAGUUAUUUGUUUAUAGUCAAGUUUAAAUUGCCUAAUGGAAGAAUGUUUCCAUUGUAAGUCUUAACAUAUAUUUAUUUGACAUAUUGUCAUCAUUUUCAUAGGCACUAUCAUUUUUUUAGAAUAAUGAAAUAUGAAAAACUGUAAUCAAUUAUUUUACAAGAGGAAAUGAUAAUUUCCCAAAUUAGAAAGUAUUAUACAUACACGAUUGAACCAAUUUUAAAGUGGCACAUCACAGUAAGCUUAUGAGAUAUACAUGUGCAGUUUGCUGGCAAUAUGAGCUCCUGUAUAAAAGCAAACAUUUGUUUUGAGCUAUGUAUUGUUUGGAACACCUGACCUUCUUGAGGCAAUAAAUCACUCCCUCUUUCCCACUUACACUCAGCAGCAGUGAGAAAGUAAAAUGAAUGGAAAUCGACUACCAUUGUCAUUCCUGCUACAGUCUGCUAUUUUGUCCAAUGUAGUCCUUACCUUCAAGUAUGUAGACUGAAAAACUGCAUCAUGGGAUAUCUCAUAAGCUGACUGUGAUGCUCCACUUAAAAACCAUCCAAAAACGUAUACACCCUGCAGAAAUAUCAGUUCCUUAGGGAUAGGAGAGAGCAAAUGCAGAUGGAGUGAGAGAGAGACAGAGUUAGUGUAGAGAGUGGAAGAAGAUAUGGUGAUAUUCAUGCUCACAUCCUCGGGUGUUUCUUCCUAACUUCUUUAUUACAAUAUAAAGGAGUAUGGAACAGAGUGAAUGGAAGAUCAAAGAAUGUUUAGUUGGUGGAAUUGUUUACACAGGAAAAAUCAGGAGUAAAAAACAUGUCCUCAAAGGUG
rnacentral:lncRNA from 1 species